rnacentral:rRNA from 1 species
AAUUAUUUAAUGGCCGCAGUAUUUUAACUGUGCAAAGGUAGCAUAAUAAUUAGUUUUUUAAUUGAAAGCUUGUAUGAAUGAUUGGACGAGAUAUAAACUGUCUCAUAAAAAUUUUUUUAGAACUUAAUUUUUUAGUAAAAAAGCUAAAAUAAAUUUAAAAGACGAGAAGACCCCAUAGAUCUUUAUAUUUUUUUUAUAAUAAUUUUUUAGAUUUUUUUAUAAAUUAAUAAAUAAAAAUAUUUUGUUGGGGUGACAUUAAAAUUUAAUAAACUUUUAAAAUUUGAAGACAUUAAUUUAUGAAUUUAUGAUCCUUUAUUAUUGAUUAAAAAUUUAAGUUACCUUGGGGAUAACAGCGUAAUUAUUUUGGAGAGUUCAUAUCGAUAAAAUAGAUUGCGACCUCGAUGUUGGAUUAAGAUUAAUUUUGGAUGUAGA